AGUGAACGCUGGCGGCAGGCCUAAUACAUGCAAGUCGAACGGCAGCACAGCAGAGCUUGCUCUGUGGGUGGCGAGUGGCGGACGGGUGAGGAAUACGUGGGAAUCUGCCCAGUCGUGGGGGAUAACGUAGGGAAACUUACGCUAAUACCGCAUGCGCCCUUCGGGGGAAAGCCGGGGACCUUCGGGCCUGGCGCGAUUGGAUGAGCCCACGUCGGAUUAGCUAGUUGGCGGGUAAAGGCCCACCAAGGCGACGAUCCGUAGCUGGUCUGAGAGGAUGAUCAGCCACACUGGAACUGAGACAUGGUCCAGACUCCUACGGGAGGCAGCAGUAGGGAAUAUUGGACAAUGGGCGCAAGCCUGAUCCAGCCAUGCCGCGUGAGUGAAGAAGGCCCUCGGGUUGUAAAGCUCUUUUGUCCGGAAAGAAAAGCGCCGGGUUAAUACCCUGGUGUCCUGACGGUACCGGAAGAAUAAGCACCGGCUAAACUUCGUGCCAGCAGCCGCGGU
rnacentral:rRNA from 1 species